rnacentral:rRNA from 1 species
CCUACGGGGGGCUGCAGUGGGGAAUAUUGGACAAUGGGCGAAAGCCUGAUCCAGCCAUGCCGCGUGUGUGAAGAAGGCCUUCGGGUUGUAAAGCACUUUCAGUGGGGAAGAAAGCCUUGGGGCUAAUACCCUCGAGGAAGGACAUCACCCACAGAAGAAGCACCGGCUAACUCCGUGCCAGCAGCCGCGGUAAUACGGAGGGUGCGAGCGUUAAUCGGAAUUACUGGGCGUAAAGCGCGCGUAGGCGGUCUGAUAAGCCGGUUGUGAAAGCCCCGGGCUCAACCUGGGAACGGCAUCCGGAACUGUCAGGCUAGAGUGCAGGAGAGGAAGGUAGAAUUCCCGGUGUAGCGGUGAAAUGCGUAGAGAUCGGGAGGAAUACCGGUGGCGAAGGCGGCCUUCUGGACUGACACUGACGCUGAGGUGCGAAAGCGUGGGUAGCAAACAGGAUUAGAUACCCCAGUAGUC